ensembl:snoRNA
UUGAGCUGAGGAGGAUUUAAAGUUAUCCCUGUCUGAAAGGACAUCUUCUGUGAGGAGUUCUCAUGUGCUGAGGCUCAA